rnacentral:rRNA from 1 species
UGGGGAAUUUUGGACAAUGGGGGCAACCCUGAUCCAGCCAUCCCGCGUGUGCGAUGAAGGCCUUCGGGUUGUAAAGCACUUUUGGCAGGGAAGAAACAGCCUGGGCUAAUAUCCCGGGCGACUGACGGUACCUGCAGAAUAAGCACCGGCUAACUACGUGCCAGCAGCCGCGGUAAUACGUAGGGUGCAAGCGUUAAUCGGAAUUACUGGGCGUAAAGCGUGCGCAGGCGGUUCGGAAAGAAAGGUGUGAAAUCCCAGGGCUUAACCUUGGAACUGCACUUUUAACUACCGGGCUAGAGUACGUCAGAGGGGGGUAGAAUUCCACGUGUAGCAGUGAAAUGCGUAGGGAUGUGGAGGAAUACCGAUGGCGAAGGCAGCCCCCUGGGAUGAUACUGACGCUCAUGCACGAAAGCGUGGGGAGCAAACA